UUUUCAUGGCUGAAGACACUUGCUGUUUUUUUAAUCAUUUAAACUCAAGUUUCCAGACUGCAAUCAAAAGAUUUCAAUUGAUUCUUUCGGUGGAACUGUUAAUUACUAUAGUCAAUGAUUAACUUGAUGGAAAUUUGCAGCCAACUAUGUUUUUCAUAUUUUGUUUUAUCAGAGUUGAAUUCAUCAGGAGUCUGUCUCAGAAGGUUGAUACUAAACUGCUUCCUAUACCAGUUCUUCCCUAUUAGUUCCUUUCCAGAUCCGGUCCAUUGACUGAUAAAAACGCUACAUAUACUUUUUUGGGUUACAAUUUGGUGUAUCAGGCUCUCUCUUAGCUAGCUGAAACGAUAAAAGGUAAUUACUUUCAUUUGUAAUUGUAAGUCAAAUUCGUUCCACUAUAGAUGAGUAGCUGUUAUUU
rnacentral:lncRNA from 1 species